AUCAUGGAGAGUAUGAUCCUGGCUCAGAACCAACGCUGGCGGCGCGACAUAAGCAUGCAAGUCGAGCGGUAAGAUAUCAGCUUGCUGAUAUCCUAGAGCGGCGGACUGGUGAGUAACGCGUGGGUGACGUACCCUUUGGACGGGGAUAGCCUGUGGAAACACAGGGUAAUACCGGAUACGGUCGCAUAUGUCAGAGGUAUGCGAGGAAAGGUUCUUUUGAACCGCCGAAGGAGCGGCCCGCGUGCUAUUAGUUAGUUGGCGGGGUAACGGCCCACCAAGACCGCGAUGUCUAGGGGAACUGAGAGGUUGGUCCCCCACACUUGAACUGAGACACGGUCCAGACUCCUACGGGA
rnacentral:rRNA from 1 species